UUGAAACACCAGUUUUCGUCUGAUCACCGAAGUUAAGCAACGUUGAACUCGAUCAGUACCAAGAUAGGUGAUCGUUUGUGAAUACCAUGUGCUGUAAG